CCUACGUGUGGCAGCAGUGGGGAAUAUUGGGCAAUGGGCGCAAGCCUGACCCAGCAACGCCGCGUGAAGGAAGAAGGCUUUCGGGUUGUAAACUUCUUUUCUCAGGGACGAAGCAAGUGACGGUACCUGUGGAAUAAGCCACGGCUAACUACGUGCCAGCAGCCGCGGUAAUACGUAGGUGGCAAGCGUUAUCCGGAUUUACUGGGUGUAAAGGGCGUGUAGGCGGGACUGCAAGUCAGAUGUGAAAAUCACGGGCUCAACCUGUUGCCUGCAUUUGAAACUGUAGUUCUUGAGUACUGGAGAGGCAGACGGAAUUCCUGGUGUAGCGGUGAAAUGCGUAGAUAUUAGGAAGAACACCAGUGGCGAAGGCGGUCUGCUGGACAGCAACUGACGCUGAGGCGCGAAAGCGUGGGGAGCAAACAGGAUUAGAUACCCUUGUAGUC
rnacentral:rRNA from 1 species